rnacentral:rRNA from 1 species
UACGUAGGGGGCAAGCGUUGUCCGGAAUCAUUGGGCGUAAAGCGCGUGUAGGCGGCUCGAUAAGUCCGUUCUGAAAGUCCAGGGCUCAACCCUGGGAUGCGGAUGGAUACUGUCGAGCUCGAGUCCGGAAGAGGCGAGUGGAAUUCCUGGUGUAGCGGUGAAAUGCGCAGAUAUCGGGAGGAACACCCGUGGCGAAGGCGGCUUUCUGGACCACUACUGACGCUGAGGCACGAAAGCCGGGGGAGCAAACAGG